AUGACAGCAGCAACCCGAAAAGAAGUCCCAUGCCUCUACCGAAGCAUUUUCAGGCUUGCACGGAAAUGGCAGGCAGUAUCAGGGCAGAUGGAAGACACCAUCAAAGAAUAACAGUACAUACUAAAUGAAGCCAUAACACUGUUCCAGAAAAACAAAAAUCUCACAGACCCAGACCUGAUUAAGCAAUGUAUAGUUGAAUGCACAGCCAGGAUUGAGAUUGGACUGCAUUUCCAGAUUCCUUAUCCAAGACCUAUCCAUCUGCCUCCAAUGGGUCUCACCCCACGACGAGGCUGGGGACUUCAAACCCAUGAGAAACUGAGAAAACUUUCCAAACCAGUGUAUCUGAAGUCUCAUGAUGAAGUUUCCUAACAAAGAGGACAGUUUACUUUUGAGGGAGGUGAGCCAACUCGGUUUUGAAUGUAAACCAAGCAAUAUAACCUUCUUGAUUAGAAGAAAAAAUUACCUUCAGACCUCCAAAAUUGGUCUUCACCUAUAACAUGUGGCCGCAGGCAUCCCUAGAGUUUUUUAGGGUCUUAUUUGCU